UCUCAUGGAUGAGCAAAGUAAGUGUUUUCUUAAAUGAAAUCUACUCCUGGUGAAGAUGCUGUGAC
rnacentral:pre_miRNA from 1 species